AAAUUGAAGAGUUUGAUCAUGGCUCAGAUUGAACGCUGGCGGCAGGCCUAACACAUGCAAGUCGAACGGUAACAGGAAACAGCUUGCUGUUUCGCUGACGAGUGGCGGACGGGUGAGUAAUGUCUGGGAAACUGCCUGAUGGAGGGGGAUAACUACUGGAAACGGUAGCUAAUACCGCAUAAUGUCGCAAGACUAAAGAGGGGGACCUUCGGGCCUCUUGCCAUCGGAUGUGCCCAGAUGGG
rnacentral:rRNA from 1 species